GACCUCGAAUCAGGUAGGAAUACCCGCUGAACUUAAGCAUAUCAAUAAGCGGAGGAAAAGAAACCAACAGGGAUUGCCCCAGUAACGGCGAGUGAAGCGGCAACAGCUCAAAUUUGAAAUCUGGCUCUCGGGCCCGAGUUGUAAUUUGUAGAGGAUGCUUUUGGUGAGGUGCCUUCCGAGUUCCCUGGAACGGGACGCCAUAGAGGGUGAGAGCCCCGUCUGGUUGGACACCGAUCCUCUGUAGAGCUCCUUCGACGAGUCGAGUAGUUUGGGAAUGCUGCUCUAAAUGGGAGGUAUAUGUCUUCUAAAGCUAAAUACCGGCCAGAGACCGAUAGCGCACAAGUAGAGUGAUCGAAAAGAUGAAAAGAACUUUGAAAAGAGAGUUAAAAAGUACGUGAAAAUUGUUGAA
rnacentral:rRNA from 1 species